rnacentral:rRNA from 1 species
UCCAGACUCCUACGGGAGGCAGCAGUGGGGAAUAUUGCACAAUGGGCGAAAGCCUGAUGCAGCGACGCCGCGUGAGUGAAGAAGUAUUUCGGUAUGUAAAGCUCUCUCAGCAGGGAAGAAAAUGACGGUACCUGACUAAGAAGCCCCGGCUAACUACGUGCCAGCAGCCGCGGUAAUACGUAGGGGGCAAGCGUUAUCCGGAUUUACUGGGUGUAAAGGGAGCGUAGACGGCGAAGCAAGUCUGAAGUGAAAACCCAGGGCUCAACCCUGGGACUGCUUUGGAACCUGUUUUGCUAGAGUGUCGGAGAGGUAAGUGGAAUUCCUAGUGUAGCGGUGAAAUGCGUAGAUAUUAGGAGGAACACCAGUGGCGAAGGCAGCUCACUGGACUGCAACUGACACUGAGGCUCGAAAGUGUGGGUAUCAAACAGGAUUAGAUACCCGUGUA